CAAAGUCUACCGCGGCCAUCACAUUUUGGGUUGUGAAACUCUUUCUACCUCGAAAAGCUGCCUCACGAGACUUGGGGACACUAGCUCGUCAAAAAUAAUUUUAGUGUGCCUAGACCAUACCUCAAAGUAAGGAUACCAUCGAGGAUUUCCAAGGAUUUUGACUGAAGUUUCAAGAGAUGGAGGCCUAAUAAGCAUUCCUCUCGUUGUGACCAAUUGUGUGAAGGAACAUUGCUACUUGUUCCUCAACACAACAAUGGAUACUAUCAGAAAGAAGGCUUCUUUGUUUCAGUG